GCCAGACUCCUACGGGAGGCAGCAGUGGGGGAUAUUGCACAAUGGGGGAAACCCUGAUGCAGCGACGCCGCGUGGGUGAAGAAGCGCCUCGGCGCGUAAAGCCCUGUCAGCAGGGAAGAAAAUGACGGUACCUGAAGAAGAAGCCCCGGCUAACUACGUGCCAGCAGCCGCGGUAAUACGUAGGGGGCAAGCGUUAUCCGGAUUUACUGGGUGUAAAGGGAGCGUAGACGGCAGUGCAAGUCCGGAGUGAAAGCCCGGGGCUCAACCCUGGGACUGCUCUGGAAACUGUAAAGCUGGAGUGCGGGAGGGGCAGGCGGAAUUCCUGGUGUAGCGGUGAAAUGCGUAGAUAUCAGGAGGAACACCGGCGGCGAAGGCGGCCUGCUGGACCGUAACUGACGUUGAGGCUCGAAAGCGUGGGGAGCAAACAGGAUUAGAUACCCCUGUA
rnacentral:rRNA from 1 species